rnacentral:rRNA from 1 species
AUUGAACGCUGGCGGCAGGCCUAACACAUGCAAGUCGAGCGGCAGCGGGAAAGUAGCUUGCUACUUUUGCCGGCGAGCGGCGGACGGGUGAGUAAUGCCUGGGGAUCUGCCCAGUCGAGGGGGAUAACUACUGGAAACGGUAGCUAAUACCGCAUACGCCCUACGGGGGAAAGCAGGGGACCUCCGGGCCUUGCGCGAUUGGAUGAACCCAGGUGGGAUUAGCUAGUUGGUGAGGUAAUGGCUCACCAAGGCGACGAUCCCUAGCUGGUCUGAGCGGGUGAUCAGCCACACUGGAACUGAGACACGGUCCAGAGUCCUACGGGAGGCAGCAGUGGGGAAUAUGGCACAAUGGGGGAAACCCUGAUGCAGCCAUGCCGCGUGUGUGAAGAAGGCCUUCGGGUUGUAAAGCACUUUCAGCGAGGAGGAAAGGUUGGUAGCUAAUAACUGCCAGCUGUGACGUUACUCACAGAAGAAGCACCGGCUAACUCCGUGCCAGCCGCCGCCGUAACAC